GAUGAACGCUAGCGGCAGGCUUAAUACAUGCAAGUCGAGGGGCAGCAUGAUUGUAGCAAUACAAUUGAUGGCGACCGGCAAACGGGUGCGGAACACGUACACAACCUUCCAAUAAGUGGGGAAUAGCCCAGAGAAAUUUGGAUUAAUACCCCGUAACAUAACGAUGUGGCAUCACAUUGUUAUUAUAGAUUUUUCGCUUAUUGAUGGGUGUGCGGCUGAUUAGAUAGUUGGCGGGGUAACGGCCCACCAAGUCUACGAUCAGUAGCUGAUGUGAGAGCAUGAUCAGCCACACGGGCACUGAGACACGGGCCCGACUCCUACGGGAGGCAGCAGUAAGGAAUAUUGGACAAUGGACGCAAGUCUGAUCCUGCCAUGCCGCGUGAAGGAUUAAGGUCCUCUGGAUUGUAAACUUCUUUUAUAAGGGACGAAAAAAGGCUUUUCUAAGUCGUCUGACGGUACCUUAUGAAUAAGCACCGGCUAACUCUGUGCCAGCAGCCGCAGUAACAC
rnacentral:rRNA from 1 species